rnacentral:rRNA from 1 species
CACGUAGGGGGCGAGCGUUGUCCGGAUUUAUUGGGCGUAAAGAGCUCGUAGGCGGUUCGGCAAGUCGGGUGUGAAAUUUCGAGGCUCAACCUCGAAACGCCACUCGAUACUGCUGGUGACUGGAGUCCGGUAGAGGAGUGCGGAAUUCCUGGUGUAGCGGUGAAAUGCGGCAGAUAUCAGGAGGAACACCGAUGGAGCGGAAG